GCGAGUGAGCGAAAAAGUCAGUGCGGCGCCGACUUCCCGGGAGGAGGGUCCCCGGGAGGGGAGGGCCAGGUCUGGGCUUCGGAGGCCGCCCCCGGCCACUCCAUCCCUUCCCGCCUCCGGGGCUCCCUCCCCACUUCCUCCCCCCCAGCGGUCCUCCCGGGCCUUCCCGCCCCCGGCGGCUGUUACCUGUCCCCUCCCCCACUCGGCGCGCACCCCCCCCUCCCCGCGCCCAGCUCCGACCUCCGGACCCCCAAGCCACCCCAGCUUUUCCUCCUGGGGGGCAGGCGGGCGGCACGGGGGGCGCUGAGCUCCGGAGGCGGCGUGAGCGGGGGCCGGGGCGCCCAGACAAUAGUUGAUGCCCGGGGACGGGGGAGGGCACCGCCGCCCGCCCUGCUCCGGGGAAGCGGCCCCCGCCGCCUGCUCCCCUGCCUCGGGGCCGGGCUCAGGAGUUGGGCAGAUUCCGCCCCCACCUCCCCGGGCCCCCCUCCGCCCGGCGCCCGGCGCUCGGCGCUCGGCGCCCGCCCCGGCCCGCCCCGGCCCCGCCGCCCGCCGCCCGCCGCCCGCCGCCCGCGGCUCUCCGCAGAGGAGGCGGCGAGAGGGCGCGCGCCGGCCGGCCACACGGUUUCUCUUUCUCCCCAGGGAGAGCGCGCGGCGGACGCGCCCCGGACGCGCGGCGGCACCGGGAGGCCGUGCAGGGCGUCCAUAGGUUCAGUUUCAAAUGUGAAUGGCAGUAAACUAAUAUCCAAGAUUUCUGUAUAAGAAGUAGAUCGAAAGGACUGUACUUUCAGGUGUUGAGAGAAUACCUCAAGUUGGACUCAAAAGCAGGAUUCAUUACUAACUCUGACGUGGAAGAAG
rnacentral:lncRNA from 1 species